rnacentral:ncRNA from 1 species
AGAAAAGCAAAGAUAAGAACAAGUAGCAGUAAAGAAAGCGGACAGAGAGGCGCCGGCUGGUGAGAGGCCCCCGUGGAAUUUCCUGUGAAUACCUCUUGGAGCUUCGCACCGAAUUUGUUCAUGGAGAUGAAGAUAGUAGGCUGUGACGGAAGGACCUCCGUUAUACGGGUCAGAGUAUUGCAGGAGCAGUACUUACAGAGGCAGGGAACGUGAGUUGUCUGUGAAUUUAGGUGGUAACACGGGAUCUUUUCCCGUCCUAAAA